GGUGGACUGCAACGGCGUGGUGUCUCUGAUCAGUCCGGGGACCGGGGGACGCCUUCUGCCUGAGGUGAAAAUAGAUAAGGCAUCUGGUGACGACAGUCCCACUACUGAGGUUGAGGUGAAGAAGAAGCUGUCUGGUUCCCUGAUGGUGUCUAUGGACCAGCUCAAUACCUCCUUCGGAGGGAAAGAGCGGGCCAACAGUGUCAUGAGCGUCAUCACCAACACACUAGCAGAGGAACUGGAGGAGUCUCAGCGUAGUUGUCCACCGUGGUGGUAUAAGUUCUCCAACAUGGUCCUCAUCUGGGAGUGUUAUCCCAUCUGGUU